CAUAUGCUUGUCUCAAAGAUUAAGCCAUGCAUGUCUGAGUACAGACCGAUCUAAGGUGAAACCGCGAAUGGCUCAUUAAAUCAGUCAUAAUUCCUUGGAUAGUGAAAAAACUUCCUCGGAUAACUGAGGAAAAUCCAGAGCUAAUACGUGCAACUGAGCUCAGACCUUGACGUGAGUUGAGGGAAGAGCGCAUUUAUUAGAUUCAAAACUGACCGGUGUACUCUUUCGGGAUGCGCCGCAUGUCAUAACUUGAUGACUCCGGAUAACUUAGCCGAGCGCUACGGUCUUGGUACCGGCGCCGUAUCUUUCAAGUGUCUGCCUUAUCAGCUUUCGAUUGUAGGUUAAACGCCUACAAUGGCUGUAACGGGUAACGGGGAAUCAGGGUUCGAUUCCGGAGAGGGAGCCUGAGAAACGGCUACCACAUCUAAGGAAGGCAGCAGGCACGCAAAUUACCCACUCCCAGCUCGGGGAGGUAGUGACGAAAAAUAACGAUGUGAGACUCUUCCGAGGCCUCACAAUCGGAAUGAGUCCAUUCUAAACAUUUGGACGAGGAUCCAUUGGAGGGCAAGUCUGGUGCCAGCAGCCGCGGUAAUUCCAGCUCCAAUAGCGUAUAUUAAAGUUGCUGCGGUUAAAAAGCUCGUAGUUGGAUCUACUAGAUCCAAUGCGUGGGCGGGUCGCUCGUUGUACGCGCGUUCUAUGCGGUCCCUCGGGGUCUUUCCUUUGAGCUCUUCAUCUGUGUCGGGUGAGUGUAGUGUUUCAUGGUGUCGUUGUGGUUGUCGCUCGCGCGGCGCACCUCGGCGCUCGUUCGCUAGUAUCUCUCUUUGGCAUUUUGAGGAUGUCUCGUCGGUUUGUGUCUCCCGUGUGGGCGGUAGAGCGUAGUCUCUGAGUAUAGCUCGUCCGCGUUUGGUACGAAUACAAAUUUGUCGGCUCGCUCGGAGUGCUCUUUACCGAGUGUUCCAGGGUGGCCGACACGUUCACUUUGAAAAAAUUAGAGUGCUUAAAGCGGGCCGAAAUGUCGCCUGAAUGUUGUUGCAUGGAAUGAAGGAACAGGACCUCGGUUCUGUUCUUUUUGUCGGUUUUAAUGAACCGAGGUAAUGAUUAAAAGGAACAGACGGUGGCAUUAGUAUUGAGUCGCUAGAGGUGAAAUUCUUGGACCGACUCAAGACUGACUACUGCGAAAGCAUUUGCCGAGAAUGUUUCAUUAAUCAAGAACGAAAGUUAGAGGAUCGAAGGCGAUCAGAUACCGCCCUAGUUCUAACCCUAAACUAUGCUAACUAGCGAUCCGUCGGAGUCAUUCCCACGACCCGGCGGGAAGCCCCAGGGAACCAAAGUCUUUGAGUUCCGGGGGAAGUAUGGUUGCAAAGCUGAAACUUAAAGGAAUUGACGGAAGGGCACCACCAGGAGUGGAGCCUGCGGCUUAAUUUGACUCAACACGGGAAACCUCACCAGGCCCGGACAUCAGAAGGAUUGACAGAUUGAGAGCUCUUUCUCGAUUCGAUGGGUGGUGGUGCAUGGCCGUUCUUAGUUGGUGGAGUGAUCUGUCUGGUUGAUUCCGAUAACGAACGAGACUCUACCCUACUAACUAGUCGACGGAUCGUAACCCUGAGAUGGGUGGAACAGAAGGCGUUCGUAUUGAGGUGCAACUGCCGCGAAAAUAGCUUUUGCACGCGGUCUUGAGUGUUUGAGCUCUCGAUUCGUGUUGCUGGGUUACAUCGUUGGUAUGUGGUACUGAUUUGCGUUUCGUCCAAGUUUCGCUUACUGGGGGCGUCCGUCGCAAUGUAUCUUCUUAGAGGGAUCAGCGGCGUCUAGCCGCACGAGAAAGAGCAAUAACAGGUCUGUGAUGCCCUUAGAUGUUCUGGGCCGCACGCGCGCUACAAUGUAGGGCUCAGCGUGCCUUCCCUCUCCGAAAGGAGCGGGUAACCCGUUGAAAUCCCUACCCGAUUGGGAUUGGGGAUUGCAAAUGUUUCCCAUAAACGAGGAAUUCCCAGUAAGCGCGAGUCAUUAGCUCGCGCUGAUUACGUCCCUGCCCUUUGUACACACCGCCCGUCGCUACUACCGAUUGAAUGAUUCAGUGAGGGCAUCGGACUGGCGCUUCGGUUGCAACAUACCUUAGGCUGACGGAAAGAUGUCCGAACUUGAUCAUUUAGAGGAAGUAAAAGUCGUAACAAGGUUUCCGUAG
rnacentral:rRNA from 1 species